rnacentral:lncRNA from 1 species
UUAUAUAUAAUCAAAAGAAUCCAUUAAAGGCCUAUAAGAGAAAUUAGUUCAACAUCACACUACUAAGAACUAAACACAAGUAUAAAGACAUCAAAUCCAUGUUACAAUUAAGAAAGGUAAAGAAGAGAAGAAAAACUCUAUAUUUGUCUCUUCCAAUUGCUUUCUUCCUCCUUGCUCUCUUGCGUGCAACUUCUUCCUGUAUCUCUCUCCCUGUGUCUAUUGUCUUUUUUUGUAACUUCCCUCCUGUAAUGUUUUUGUGUCUCUUGGCCCAUGUAACUCCCAAGCCCAUUAGAAAACAAAACAAUAACUGAUCUAUUUUUCCUAUACUAUAUUUUGAAUAAAAUAAAUACUACAAAUAAGUUUCUCAAAUAGAAUAGGAGUUCAAAGUAGAAAAUUCGGACUUUCUGCUUCUGGCCAUAUUCUGGGCUGAUUGGAAUGUCAAUAAAUUCUGAAACCUUACUUGAAUUAAAGGUCUUCUCGCAAGCUUUCCAACGGCUGUUUACGGGCCCAAAACGGACUUACAGAACUCCGGUUAUGAUCAAAACAAUGAACACAACACAAUUAAUCCCAAAAUCCGAAUUUUGCUAGAAAUCACUUCAAAUAAUGCACUUUUUGCUCCAUUCCUUCUAUUAUGAGAAUUCUUUAUUUUCUACAAGAAAACAUGAAAAUAUAUAUUAAAUAAAAUCCAGUUUC